GAAUGGGGAAACCCAGUGUGUUUCGACACACUAUCGUUAAGUGAAUACAUAGCUUAACGAAGCGAACCGGGGGAACUGAAACAUCUAAGUACCCCGAGGAAAAGAAAUCAACCGAGAUUCCCCCAGUAGCGGCGAGCGAACGGGGAGGAGCCCAGAGUCUGAAUCAGCGCGUGUGUUAGUGGAACGGUCUGGAAAGUCCGGCGGUACAGGGUGAUAGCCCCGUACACUAAAAUGCACACGUUGUGAACUCGAAGAGUAGGGCGGGACACGUGGUAUCCUGUCUGAAUAUGGGGGGACCAUCCUCCAAGGCUAAAUACUCCUGACUGACCGAUAGUGAACCAGUACCGUGAGGGAAAGGCGAAAAGAACCCCGGCGAGGGGAGUGAAAAAGAACCUGAAACCGUGUACGUACAAGCAGUGGGAGCCUACUUGUUAGGUGACUGCGUACCUUUUGUAUAAUGGGUCAGCGACUUAUAUUCUGUAGCAAGGUUAACCGUAUAGGGGAGCCGCAGGGAAACCGAGUCUUAACUGGGCGUUAAGUUGCAGGGUAUAGACCCGAAACCCGGUGAUCUAGCCAUGGGCAGGUUGAAGGUUGGGUAACACUAACUGGAGGACCGAACCGACUAAUGUUGAAAAAUUAGCGGAUGACUUGUGGCUGGGGGUGAAAGGCCAAUCAAACCGGGAGAUAGCUGGUUCUCCCCGAAAGCU
rnacentral:rRNA from 1 species